rfam:Felis catus isolate Cinnamon breed Abyssinian chromosome D2, whole genome shotgun sequence.
GCCUGGGGGGCUCAGUCGGUUGGGCGUCUGACUUCGGCUCAGGUCACGAUCUCAGUUUGUGGUUUCGAGCCCCACGUCAGGCU